GGGUGGGGGGUGGGGGGGAUGUGUGACAGACAACUUGUCACAUUGUCCAAGUCCAUAGGAGUGCAUUCUCGAGACCAUCUGGUGCAUGGACAUACUGUGCCAGUGUGUUCCGAGCAUGAACGUAAUAUUGUGGAGACUACAGCACAUCGAGCCAGUAUACAAAUAUACAUUAUUGUGUAAAACAACCCUUUUCCCAAUGUUUUAGACAUGAGGCAUAACAUGCGGAAAAUCAGGCUUACGCCAUGAGAAGCAGUCCAUGAUCAACACCACCCUCAGCAAGGAGAUUUGCUGUAUAGGCAGGGAUGACUGGGGCCUACAGCAAGUAAGACACUGGGUGUGGCAUAUCAAGAAGCUGAUUAAACAGCAUGAUCAUUACACCGGUGCACCUUGUGCUCGUCGUCCUUGCCAGAGUCUUGACCUGACUGUAGUUCGGCGUCGUAAACAACUUCAGUGGGAAAAUGCACACCAUCGAUGGCCGCUGGCAUGCUGGAGAAGUGUACUCUUCCCGAAUGAAUUCCGGUUUCAACUGUACAUGGCAGACAGCGUGUAUGGCUUCGUGUGGGCGAGCAGUUUUCUGAUGUCAACGUUGUGAACAGAGUGCUUCAUGGUGGCGGUGGGGUUAUGGUAUGGGCAGGUAUAAGCUACAGACAACGAACACAAUUGCAUUUUAUUGAUGGCAAUUUGAAUGCACAGAGAUACUGUGAUGAGAUCCUGAAGCCCACUGUUUGAUUCAUCUGCCGCCAUCACCUCAUGUUUCAGCAUGAUAAUGCUCAGCACGAUGUCGCAAGGAUCUGUACAUAAUUCC
rnacentral:lncRNA from 1 species